UUUCCGUAGGUGAACCUGCGGAGGGAUCAUUACUGAGUGAGGGCUCACGCCCGACCUCAACCCCUUUGUGAACACACUUUGUUGCUUCGGGGGCGACCCUGCCGGCACUCGGUCGCCGGGCGCCCCCGAAGGUCUCCCAACACUGCAUCUUUGCGUCGGAGUUUAAAACAAAUUAAACAAAACUUUCAACAACGGAUCUCUUGGUUCUGGCAUCGAUGAAGAACGCAGC
rnacentral:misc_RNA from 1 species